rnacentral:misc_RNA from 1 species
UUUCAAUCCAAGGAAGGGUAUCAGCUUGAAAAUGCCUUUGCAACAUUUUCACAUUGUUCUGCGUCAUUUGCAGCCUCUCAGCAUCUGAAACUAUGACUUCAUCUUGAAGCUUGAGCCGUUGGGAAAGAUCCUUGAAGCCGUGUACAAGUUGAGGCCACAGGCGCUCACGGUCAGUACUCUCCAUGCCUUCAAGUUUGCCCAUUGCCUCUGCCCACAUUAUAUCAGAUACCCCUGCAGGUUUCGUCCUAUAUUGAGGUUCCGUCACACUGGACAAAAGAUGCUUGAAAGCAUAUUUACGGUUACCAGGCUCCUCCUUGUACGCAUCAACAAUUGCUUGGAUAUCCCGUGGCUCCACUCCCCUUUUCUCUCGCUG